rnacentral:lncRNA from 1 species
GUUUGGAUACUCUAAUAGACAAUAAUGUGAUAUUCUAAUAUACAGUAAUAUGGCUCGGACAUUGUUGCAGUCGGCGGCUACGGUCUGGAUAAAUAACAGACCUCGGCUGCAGCCGGCGCCAGCACCUAGUUUCUCAACUCUGGAAGAGUCGUCCGUUAUAAGCGUUUUAAACCGUUUUCCUUACGGAACGAAGUGUUCUUUCCACGCUAUCGUAACGACGUUCGAUCCUUUAGGGUUCUAUUACCUCGGACCUUCGAGGUUAGGAAAAAGAACGGGGAAUAUACAAUUAUUCGAGAACCGUGAGUCGGAAACUAGAUAUCGCGAAAGACGUAUCUAGCCGCCUGUGGGUACGUAUAAUAUAGUAUACCAACAUCGCCGUAACGUUUCCGCUUAAGUGGCUGUCGGGCUCCGCAGUUUUCUCGUUCCAAUCCAGGUUAGGCCUAUCUCCGACGUACCGCUAGAUCUUGUACGCAAAAAAGAAACACCCGGUUCUCGUUCGUAUAGAUACGAUAGUUCUUUGGAUAGGGAAGUCCGCAGAGGUCGUCAACCCCGCACUAUCUUCCAAUUGGAAUUACACGUUAACCGUUAUUCUCGAGAAGAUAGAAGUCAGUAUAUAUACCUUAUAAAGAACUCUAAAACGUGUAAAAGUAUGGUAGAGUUCCGAAGUAUUGUCGGUCGGCGGCUGCUGUCCUCAGGUAUGGAAGAAAUAGCCAGACUUCGGCUGCGGCCGGCCUGCGCGCCUGGUCUCUGCCGGAGGGGGAGGAGGUGUGGGUGGGUGCUUGUCCCGGCCUCGCCGAGGAGGUUUUUAUCAAAAACCGUCCGUUUCUAUGGUUAUUCGGUGUCACGUGAUGCAUGGAUAUGGUCACGUGAUUGCAGGCAUUGACGCCCGAUAAUGCCGGCGGCUCGGCGAACCGGGACAGGCACCUGGUCGUGCCUCUUCUGCCUCCGGCGGGGAUUGGGCGCGCGGGCCGGCUGCGGCAGAGGUCUGGCUAUUAUUAUAUGCAGACCGAUAGCCGCCGGCUGCCACAGUUGUCUAUAUUUGUUACGUUAUAGCUAUAUAAUAAAGAUUACAAUAUUUCCAAGAUAUCUUUAUUGUUUCAAUAAAAUGAGUCUUAGUAAAGGAUUAGUUAAACAGGUAUGUUUUCUUUGUUUGAUUCACAUAAAUAUAUUUUGUAGCACCACAGUCUACAAAGAACACAUUUCACGCUGAACUGCUGGCAUCGGUUACAUUUAUAUCGUAGUACGACUGCGGAUGGAUAUUCUCGUUCCAACUCUCUGAUCGGUAUGUCGUAAAGAAAACACAAAUAUAUCGUGAGAAACGAUCCUUUACAAUAUAUAUUUGUAUAUGUUUCCAGCAGAUCGGAUAAUAUAUACCGUACGUGGUCCGUUCUUACCCAUACGUGUCUGCUGCUAUUGGGGCCAUCGCAGUCCGUAUCCGUUGUCUAUGGUAAAUAUAACGAUAUUUCUGUUGAUGAUUGACAAGUGUCGAAAUUUCACUCCUUUUGAGUGUAGAUGUGGAUUUGAUCGUAGAUGUAUUUGUCUGCUAGAGAGACAAAAGUAAGUCUUC